CCUCCGGGCGGCAGCAGUAGGGAAUCUUUCACAAUGGGCGAAAGCCUGAUGCAGCAACGCCGCGUGCAGGAUGAAGGCCCUCGGUUUGUAAACUUCUUUUAUAAGCGAAAAAUAUGACGGUAACUUAUUAAUAAGCAUCGGCUAACUACGUGCCAGCAGCCGCGGUCAUACGUAGGAUCCGAGCAUUAUCCGGAGUGACUGGGUGUAAAGAGUUGCGUAGGUGGCAUAAUAAGUAGCUAGUGAAAUCUGGUGGCUCAACCAUUCAAACUAUUAGGUAAACUGUUAAGCUGGAGAGCGGUAGGGGUAAGUGGAAUUUCUAGUGUAGGGGUGAAAUGCGUAGAUAUUAGAAGGAACACCAAUAGCGUAGGCAGGUUGCUGGGACGGUUCUGACGCUGAGGCACGAAAGCGUAGGGAGCAAACGGGAUUAGAUACCCUGGUAGUC
rnacentral:rRNA from 1 species